UCAGAAGUGCGAAUGCUGACAUAAGUAACGAUAAUGCGGGUGAAAAACCCGCACGCCGGAAGACCAAGGGUUCCUGUCCAACGUUAAUCGGGGCAGGGUGAGUCGACCCCUAAGGCGAGGCUGAAAAGCGUAGUCGAUGGGAAACGGGUUAAUAUUCCCGUACUGGUGGUAACUGCGAUGGGGGAACGGAGAAGGCUAGGUUGUCCGGGCGACGGUCGUCCCGGUUCAAGCAGGUAGGCAGAGUGAUUAGGCAAAUCCGGUCACUUAAUGCUGAGAUGUGAUGACGAACCACCAAGGUGGUGAAGCAAUUGAUGCCCCGCUUCCAGGAAAAGCCUCUAAGCUUCAGGUUACCAACAAUCGUACCCCAAACCGACACAGGUGGUCAGGUAGAGAAUACUCAGGCGCUUGAGAGAACUCGGGUGAAGGAACUAGGCAAAAUGGUGCCGUAACUUCGGGAGAAGGCACG
rnacentral:rRNA from 1 species